rnacentral:lncRNA from 1 species
UAUAUAUAUAAAAAUGAAAAUACAACUACCGCUACUGUAAUGAACAACUGAAAGUAUACAUGCAACAAAACUAUAGUAGCAAGACAAUGUAACGAAAGAACUGAAGGUAUAUAAGCAACAACCGCUACUAUAGCUAUAUGCGUCAACCGGACAAGAAGUCCAAAUAUACCCAAUCCGAAAUCUGUGCUAUGUUGGUCAGCACCGCAGACCUCAAGCGUGCCCACUACCACUCUACUAUGCAUAUAACCCCUCUAGGGCUCACGGGUUGGCACCUGCAACCACUUUUCCUGAAAAGAACACCCCUUGCGGUGGAUCAGACCGCCGGUGUUCGUGAAAUGCGACGAGUAUCGGACGAUCAAUGCAGAUAUGCUCAAUGAUCAACCGUCGGCAAUCAGCCGACAAUCUUGCCCCUCAGGGCUCACCGACCGUAUAGGUCAUCAACUGUAAGGAAGCACAAGAACCGACAACUCAGGUCAACUAGGAUGGAACGACUCAACAUCCUCUCAAAAGUAUGGAAAUACUGCUCGAUGGGUCAACU